CUUCACCUCCUCUCACGCCAAUAUUCAUCUCUCCACUUCUCAUCAGACUUUAAAAGCAAAACAUACUACCUUCAAUCGAUGACCAUCAAAGAUAGAUAUCAGUACUGCCAAGAACAACUCCAUCAACUCAGCGGAUUUCAACUCAGUAUCAAUCAACAAGAACAUCCAUCACCGUUGUGUUCAAUAUAUUCUCUGGUGUUGGCAAAACUAAACCACGAUUGCAUCAUCACCAAUAAUCACCAUUAUUACCGAUCAUCAACACCAACAAGAAUUGUUUCUCGACACGAACUCUUUCUCAAUAGUAGUCACCAUUGUUUUAGCUCAAUUUGAUGUUUUUUUGUGGAUUGAAUCGAAAGGGUGAUUAGAAACUGCAGGCGGAUUGUGAAUUUGUAUGGCUUUGGUUUCUGUUACAGGAUGAUUAGGAACUGCAGGUGAUGAACUGUUUCUACCACAAUUUGGUGCUCAAGUGGUAUGUGUUUCUGGUGGUUGUUGGAGCUGGUGUCUGAAUGGUUGUUGCUUCAGGUGAUGAGGUGUUAAAUGGGGUUUUGACAUUUGUUGUAAGUCAUGGUUUUGGAAGUUUGAGUCAAUGGUGGUGAAUGGAGCUAAUGAAUGGGUUUUGGUGGUUAGUGUUGCAGGCUUGAACUGAAAUGGGUAGAUGAAUGUUAGGAUGGUCUGAGCCGAGUCGCAAAGGUUGUUGGUAUUAUGUUGCUACAGUCAGUUGGAGGAAAUAGGUCUCUGGUGGAGAAGUUGAGUAAGAAGCAGAAAGAAGAGGAUUGUAAUGGGCAUUACAGAUGUUGCAGGAUCUGGAUUGGCAGUGAUGCUGGUUUAUGAGGAAGAUUUGCAAGAAUAAAGCCAUGAGGUUGAGCUGCAGGUUACAAGAAGAAGUGCAAAUGAACUGAAAAUAAGAACAUAGAAGAUGCGACGGCGGCGGUAGGAGAAUGAGCAAAAGGUUUCUCACACUUAUUAUGUAAAAUGUUAUGAAAUUGAAGGACAUAACAGUAAACUCGUUUAGUAAUUAUAUUUCUUUUUCUUUCUUCUU